CUUGAGUGUAUACCUGUGGACAGGUGUAUCUGGGCCGGAUGAAGGUGUACCUGUGAUGGGACAGGUGUAUCUAGGCAGGGUGGAUGUAUACGUCAGGACGGGUGUAUCUGGGCCGGGUGAGGGUGUACCUCUGGGGGGGAUGCCAGCCUGAGGCCAGGGCCCCAGACAUGUCCACCUGCUAGUGCCUCACCUUGAAGCGGCGGUCGUACUUGGUGACCGAGUCAGCGAAGUCCACGCGUUCCCUCUUGCCCAGGAACUGACGCAGCUCCGGCCGCUCCUCUAGCCCCAGGUAGUCCCCGACGAAGUUCCGGUUGAUGCUGUUCCGUCUCCGCUCCUUCUUGUUCAGCAGGAUGUUGGACGCUGUGGAGAUACCGGGUGGGGGGCAGAGGUUGUGGCCUGGCUCCUCUGAGUCGGUCUGUCCCCUCCCUGAGCCUCCCACCUGCAGGCUCUCACCUUCCUCCCGCAUCUCUUCGUACUUCCGGACUGCCACAUGGCGUCGCCAGGCCUUCUGGAUGGUGCGGGCAAAGCCAUCGAACUUCCGCUCUCGCAUCUCCUCCAGAAGGAAGAGCUGGGCAAAAGAGGGGCGAAGAAGAGGGAAGUUUGGACCCAGACACAGAGGAGAAGGUCGUGUGAUGACAGAGGUAGAGACUGGAGUGAUCAAGAAUGGCAAGGAUGGCCGGCACCCACCGGAAGUUAGGGAGAGUCAAGGAAGGCUCUUCCCUGCAGCCUUGAGAGGGACCGUGGCCCUGCGGACACAUUGGUUUUGGAUUUCCAGCUUCCAGAAACGUGAGAAAAUUAAUUUCUGUUGGGUUAAGCCAUCCAGUCGGUGGUACUUCACUACAGCAGCCACAGGAAAGGAACACACGCAGCGUGACAGGCAGGGAAGGCCAGCAGGUGUGUGAAACAGCCAAGGAUAGUUUGAGUUCAUGUGUACAAGGAGCCAAAUUCAAAUCAGAAUCAUCCCAAUGUGGGCUGGCUGGCAGAGUCCCCACCUCCCUUAGGGUAACUUAAUUCUUUGAUCAAUUGUGACACAGCAUAGUUAUAAACAGUUACAAAACUGUAUCCAGUUUUUUCCUGUGCAAAUUUUCAGUCUUGUUUUUCCUUACAACAUUUUUCCACCAAACUUUUCCCUGUGUGAAUUUCAUUGUUUCCGGCCGUGGAAAUAAUUUUUGUCAGAAUAUGAUUUUACCUUAGAUAGCCUUAGCCAGUGCUAGCCUCGUUGACUCUGUUUUUGUUUGUUUGUUUGUUUUUUCCCAGUGUCAAUUUUUACAUGUUUCUUUCGGAGUCAGAUUUUGCAAACUGCCUGUAACCAGCAGGAUGGAUUCUCUUUCUCUGUCUCUCCCAUCCUCUUUUUCUGACCCUCCCUCCCUUUCUUUCUCAACUGCUACAAUUUGAAUUGUUCCCGAUUAGUUCCAGUCAUGGGCAAUUUUGGUUUGUGAUGCUAGUUUCUGUCAGUGAAAAGAUCUACUCUGGAUGCAUUCCAGACUGUUCUCAUUUCUUGGAGCAGAGCACAUCCAUAGGGAAAGCUCCAGAGAUCGGUACAGACAAGUUUGGGGGACAGAGAACCCGACCUCCCGAAACAGACUAUUUUCUUCUUUCUCUUCUCUUCUCUUCUCUUCUUUUCGUUUUCUUUCUUUUUUUUAAAGUAAGUUUUAUGCCCAAUGUGGGGCUUGAACACACGACCCUGAGAUCAAGUGCCGCGUGCCAAUAAUCCAGCUUGGUUCAGGCAGGGGAACAUAAGAUCUGCGUGGGAGUGUAGUGAGCCAGCACAGCACAUCCAGAAGGCCGACUCCCGAUUUGCCAUCCAAUCCUCACAUAGCAGCAGGUGGCCAGGCAGGCCCUAGGAGAUUCUUUGCACUGCCUUAUUUAUUAAAAAAAAAUUUUUUUUUAAUGUUUGUUUAUUUUUGAGAGAGAAACAGAGACAGAGUGCAGACAGGGGAGGGCCCGAGAGAGAGGGAGACACAGAAUCCGAAGGACGCUCCAGGCUCUGAACUGUCAGCACAGAGCCCGAUGCGGGGCUCAAGUUCACGGACUGGAGAUCAUGACCUGAGCUGAAGUCGGACGCUCGACCUACUGGGCCACCCAGAGAAAACACAUGGAAGGGGGUGAGACAGAGAGAGAGAAUCCCCAGCAGGCUCUGCACUGUCAGCGCAGAGCCCAACGCGGGGCUCCAUCGCACGAACAGUGAGAUCAUGACCCGAGCCGACAUCAAGAUGCCUAACUGAGCCACCUGGGCGCCCUGUCAUUGUUGCUUUUUAAAAAAAAACUACCCCUGUCCAGCUUUGCUGAGGUAUAACUGACGCGUGACAUUGUGUAAGUUUAAGGCGUACAGGAGUUGACUGGAUACAUGUAUAUAUUGCAGAAUGGUGACCGCUAUAGAUCAGCUAGCACCUCCACGCAUAACCUAGUUACCAUUUCUUUUGUGGUGAGAACCCUGAAGAUCUACCUGCCAGUAUAUAAUACAGCGCUGUUCACUAGAGUCGCAAUGCUAUCCGGUAGGUCCCCAAGACAGAUUUGUCGUCGUCACUUUGUUUCUCCCCUGAAGGCAGAGGCCCCGUACGCUAGGUGGUGCUCCCGACCUUUUGAGAAAAGGCUGAGAGCGGCCGAUAAGGUGCUGGAGGGGUUAUUUCUGCACUGGAGGGUACAGAACGAGGGUUUUCUUUGACAGAUCGGGGCCUGGGGCAGGUCUUGGGAUAAGCCAACCGCCACUUUGACACGAGUCUCCAGCCCAGGGACUCCAUGUGUCCAUGAAGCAAUGAAGGAAGAGGACAGAGAAAGCAGACUAGGAGAAGGUACAGAAAGAAAUUAGUUAAGGGGCGCCUGGGUGGCUCAGCCGGUUAGGCGUCCGACUCUUGGUUUUGGCUCAGGUCAUGAUCUCACGGUUCGUGGGUUCGAGCCCCGCAUCGGGCUCUGGGCUGACUGUGCGGAGGCUGCUUGGGAUUCUCCCCUUCCCUCUGCCCCUCCCCCCUUGCGCUCUCUCUCUCAAAAGUAAAUAAAUAAACGUUAAAGAAAUAGAACUUAGUUAAAAAGGAAGAAAGCAGAAAGAGAAGAAGGAUAGAAAGUUCUUCUCCCUCACAAGGGGCUUGUCACCACAGGUGGCCACACGUGUCCCUACCUGCCUCCUGGCCACCAGGGGACCGUCCAGCUAAUUCCGGUUUUUUCUGAGCACCUGCUAUGUGCCACACACUGGGCAGGAGACUUCCCGUUUUGUCUAAUUCUCACCCCAGUCCUGCACGGGGGGCUUCUCCUCCCCUCGCUUUCCAGACGGAGAAGUCUGUCUGCCUCUCACACUCACCGACUCAGGGUUCUUGACAAAGACCUUGGUGCUCCCCAUCUGGUACUGGUCUGGAUCCAUGUUGACUGCCCGAAGCAGGUGCUGGACCCCCUGACGUUCAUCCCCACGCCACUGUGGCCACGUCUCGGGGGUCAGGAUGGCGUACCUGGAGGCAGAGGACGUGGGAGGGUUUGGAGUCCACGUCCCCGCUGGUGGAUAUUCUGCGGGGUGGCAGUUCGGGCCAGGGGUGGGUGGGGGCACCUCACCUCUGCAGGAACUUGGAGAAUUGGCGACGGUAGGCAAAGCCAGCCCGGCGUACUCUGAUGUUCUCCUUCAGGCCCAGGUACUCCACCUGGUGCUUGACCCUAAAGGGGAAGGCACUUUGAGUCCCCUGCGGGGUACUCCUGGUCCUGGGAGUGGGUGGGUGCUGCUGGGCAGGGCUGGAAGGAGCAGACGUGGGGCCCAGCGGGUCUGGAUUCGUGCCGGGGGCAGUGUGGGGGGGGGUGACUUCAGUGCCGGUGCCAGGGGUCAGCCUGGGAGUCAGUCCUGUGGGGGUGGGGACCCAGCUUCUGGGGAGGGAGGGGUCUGUGACAGUUCUGUGGUCAGUUUCAGAGUUCAUCCUAGGGGUGCGUCCUAGGGUUUGGGGACUGAGGGGACUGUGCUAGUUCCUGGGUCAUCUUGCACUCAGUCUGGGGUCAUCCCUGCAGUCUGGAUGGUCGUGGUCAGUAGUAGGUAUAAACCCGGGGCCCUGAGGAGGUUUGCACUGGUCCUAGGGGUCAGCCCUGGUUAGUCCUGGGAUGAGUCCCAUGACCCUGGGCGGGUUCUGGAGGGAGGGGUCCGUCUGGGGGCACAGGAAGUGUGGAUGGGUCCAGCUGGUAGUCACCUGCUCUCCUCCCAGUCGCGGGGCUUCUUGGUCUCGUUGGGCUUGAUGCAGCGGAUGUAGUGGGGUGUACAUCUUUUUAGCGUGGCCACCAGGUCAUUGGCUUGUUUCUGAGGCGGAGGAGAAGGUGGGGGCGGUGGAGCGAUGGGACCCUCGGACCCUCUCUCCUCCCAGCCUGGAUACAGACCCAGGAGGCAGAGACGCACUAAGUGGGGGCUGGCUCCCAGUGCAGCACGGGGUCAGGUGUCCCUGGUCUGUGCAUACCUCCAUUAGCACACCCCGUGCAGGGUUGACAACCUCAGACGAGGAGCUCUCGUGUUCACAGCACUCAGCGCUCAAUCUGGCACAUCACAAGUGCUCAGCAAACAUUUGCGGGUGGCUAGCUGAGCACUCAGAACAUGUGCACAGAACAUUUCUGCCUGUCCUUCGGGGAGCCGGUCCUCCGGGAGUAGGGAAUCACGUGUGUGUGCCUGAGAGGCCAGCCUUGUGCAUUUUAGUCCCUUGGAGGAGACUAGAAAGGAAAUCGUCCCAGGUGGGGGGAUUGGAGGCAGCGGCAUGAGAGUCCUCUGCUGUGUGAUCGGGGCCAGUGACGGUGCUUCUCUGAGCCUUGGUCCCCCCGUCCCCCGGGUGGGAUUAGUCCCAUGCACGGAAAGCGUCCCCGCAUUUGCUGCCAGUACUAAGUGCUCCAGGCAUAGUCAUUAAAAUGUUUUCAGGAUGGGCCACCCAGUUGAUCGUAGCACUAUUCACUAGGUAAAAGGUGAAGGCAACCGAGUGUCCAUCCACGGAGGAGUGGAUAGGAAGAAUGUGGCCCGUUCGUACACUGGAAGAUUCUUCAGCCUUAAAAAGGAAGGCUGUCCUGACCCCAGCUACAACAGGGACGAACCUGGAGGACGUUGCGCUGAGUGAGGCUCAGCGUAACACCUGACGGAAGGAAGAAGCCCAAGAACGAUUUGUUAAAAGAAACAACGGAUGAGAGAAUAAAUCGGGAACUGAAAUGUGAAUAGGAACGGACGUAGCAUGAUUGCAGCCAAGGCAAUAUGGAAGAAUGUUACACAGACAAGUCAAGGAAGUCAAGGCCACUACAGUGCAGCUGACGGGGGAAUCUUUUUCAGAUGGACCACAAGCAGGAAGUGAGACUUCCUUUCGGCCCCCGGGAGAGGACUCAGAUAGAGGCUCCCCCAAAAGACCCCUCCUCCAGGAAGCCUGCCUGGAACGUUUUCCCUUUUCAGCCUGACUGAACUCAUCCGGUGCCUUGGACGCUUAAACAUACUGGCUGUCUCAGGUGCACUCGAGGCUCAGCGUACCCCUGCCGUGGAGGAGUCUGGCAGACCGAGCCUCAGACAGGAGAGAACAACGAAACAGCCAUUUCCUUCCUCGUUGGGGUCCUGUGAGCUGUGGUCGCCAGCAGGGAGGAGAAACAACCACCGUCACCCUCACCGAAUCACCAUCCCCGAGAAUAACCUGCUCCUGCCUUCACCCCCUUUGCCCUCACAGUCAAACAAAAACUGCCGAUAACCUCAAUCAUGGCACCCACCGUCAACGUCACACAGAACAGGGAACGGGUCCCGCCGCCAAGUUCCCUACCGUCGCCACCGCCACGGCCACCGCCGCUGCCACGCUCACGGCACUGGCCGUCCACGGCCACACACGACCAACCUCCACUAAGGCCGCCGUUCCCACACCACCAUCGCCAGGGCGGUCGUCAAAAAUCAGCAACGGACGACCAACAGCCAAGAGUGCUGCCAUCACCGCCCCACUCGGGGCAAGAGCGGCCACCGACUACCGUCACUCCACGGAUCAGCCCUGAAGACGACCAGCCACCAACCACAGAUCAACACCGGCUGGCAGGCGGCAACCAUCGCCCCUGCCGACACGCGCCCACGGGACUCACAGUUACCGCCAACUUGCGACGACCGUGGGCGAUGACCACCAUCACCCUCCCCCCCCCACCCGGGCACCCACCACCCAUCAUUCAACAGCAACCGAGAGUCGCCUCCCCCGGCUGCCAUCACUAACGACAGCAAUGAAUGGGCAUCGCCCACGGGGACUGCAUCGAGGGCACAGCGCGUGGCUUGGGGAAGCACUUGAAGAACACUGCUCCGUUGACUCCUUCCACACUCUUCCUGGCACCCAUCGCCCCCGCCAGGAAGCAGUCGGCACCCCUGGAUGGAAGUUUUGGCCUCGUGGAUGGGGUCUGCCCUCUGUUUUCCCCUCCGUGGUCCUCUUGGGUUGAGCUUCUCCCUCCCGCAACCCACCAGGAGAGCAAACCAUUGACUAAGCAUUUUGUACAGCUUCCUUGCGAGGGGGGUGGAUUUCUUUCAAGUAGCAAAUCAUUUCCUGUGUUCUUUUGAUCUCCGUCUCCCCAUCCGAGCGCCCGAGCCUUCCUGGCUUGGCUCCUUCUUCGAGGAAUUCUCCCAUCCCAAGCCCGGGGCUCUAAGCUGCCACUUUGGUGGGUGAGCCACCCAGAGGGGUCCUCGGCCAGUGACCCCCGGUUCGUCACGGGCUUUCUGAAACGAGGAGGGGCUCUCUCCCAGACGGACGCAGUCCCUGCCGUCUGGCCCACCACCCCGCCUCCACCUUGGUCAGGUGCCCGCGGCGGCUGGCUGGGUGACUGUCCCAGCCACAUGCUGUCGUUGACAGAGUGACAAAAAAUGAAAGUCGAAGUGGUUUGCAGAUGCGUGGAGCGGUGGGGGCACAUCUUAGAGCCAGCCUGGGCUCUCUCUUUACGUGUGUGUUAGGAGGCUGCUGGGUCUAGACCCACGAUAGUGACGGUCUCCUGAACCCUGUCACCGCAGUCAUCGCCAGACCUCAGCCUCACCAGGUGGUGACGCGGCUGGCGGCAGGGUGUCCCCUGCCAUACUUGCUUGGAAGGCUUCCGGGAGUGGUGUGGCCCUGCUGGGCCUCACCGCCUCCUGUUUCUGUGAUCGCUACAGCCAGACAUGCAGGCACACUGCCACGACACCAUCACUGCCCCCCAUUGCCCACUGGACACAGCUUCUGGCCGCAGCUGUGGACUCAGAGUGGCCGAGCCCGCAGACCCUCUGAAGUUCGGAGAGUUUCCUGGAACACCUUCCCUAUCACCACUGACUUCCAAAUAUGACAUGUGUGGGAACUGAGGCCCAGAGAGGGGAAGUGGCUUGCCCAAGGCCACACAGGAAGAUGAGGGACCAAGAUGAGCUGGAAACUGGCUCUCUAAGCCCUGACAAAGGGGUAUGUCCUUGUCCCCUGCAGAUACUGCCUGGUCCCUCAGGGUCAUCCUCUGUCCUUUGUUACUGCUCCCUCCUUGGUCCCCUAUCACCAUUCUGGCAUCCUGGCACCGCCCGAUAUGAACUUGGACCCUGGUGAAGGAUGCUGGGGCAUCUGGGCUGCAGAGAGGGACCCCCCAAAGGGUCCUCUGCGCCCCUCCCCCUGGCCCCACCUUCUGAUGGUGGCCCUGGGGCACCUCCACCUGGGUGGUUGCUCCCCACCCCUGCACUCGAGGGCCCGGCCUUGAAGGACUUACCAUGGUGAAGGUGUGCCACCCCUGGGGAGCGCCCGAAUGGGUUGUGGCGGGGGUCCGGGCUCAGGGCGUUCUGGGGGGCGGCUCGGGCAUGGCCCUGCUCCUGCUCCUGUACCGGACUCCUAGCCUAGUUCCUCUUACAACAGCCCCCCCUCCCACUUCCUUUGGCGGGAGGGGCCUCUGCUACAGGGGAGGAGGGACGCUGGGCCCCAGGGCGGGGAGAAAGCUCCAGCAGCAGAGGCAGGGCUGUUUGGGGCUCAGCCUGGAGGGAGAGGUCAAGGGUGGCCGCGGCUGGCGGGCCCCAGAAGGCCCCUUCUCCAACUGCGGGGACAGGCGCUGCGGCUGACAGCACGCAGGUCAGCUGGCUGCAGGACUGACUGUUCUUCCAGGGGGGCAUCGGGGCCUUUUGGGAGGCCCCGGCCUCUUCAGAACCACUUCAGAGGUGUGUCCGUUCGGGCAUCUCCGAGCAGACUCCCGCUUCCAGGGCCGCCCCUGCCGCUCCUUCCUCCAGAAAGGCCUCGGGGGGCCACGUGUGUCCGUGUCACGAGGAGUGCAGGAGUACCAGGAGCCACGGGCAGCUCUUAGGGUCCCAGACUUUGGAUGUCAGCUCUGGAUUUAACAACCCGUCGGGUGGUGCCAGAUUUAACAACCUGCUACUUCAGGGGUGCCCCACUUUCUUAUAAAAUGGGGGGCGCUGGCUUUCACCCCAGGGCCUGGCACACACAGGGUCCCAUCAGGUGUUGGCUCACCUCCUGGUGUCCCCUUGACAUUUAGGACAUGGCAGUUCGGAGAGGUCGGCGCCUCCCGGCCAGGAGGAGGAGGAGGUCGAGGCCGAGGCAGGCGACCCUGGGAGCCUGCGCUCCUGGCGGCAACACAGCAUCGUGCUUCGAGGCCGGCAAGCCGCAGCGUCCCCUAGUGGCCACACCUGGGGAGGAGCGGGUUUCUCCCGGAAUCGCCCGCACAGGCUGGGGGCGCUGGGUAAUCUCAGCGGUGCCUCCAGGCACCUGCGAACAAGCAGGCAGGUGGACCUUCUCCUUGCCGGAGGCUUCAGAGGGGGGUUCUACGAGGAGGUGACGCUUGGGUCGAGGCCGAAGGGUGAGUCGGAGUUAACCGGCUGAAAAGGGAAGGGGAGGGACCACCUGGCGGAGGAAGCAGGUCUAGCAAAGGCCCGGAGAUGGGAAGCCGGCGGGAGAUUGAGGAACUUCGGGGAGGCCGGAGAGGCCUGGGAGGCCGCGUGCGGCUGGGCGGGAGCGAGCCCCGGGCCUGGGGACGUGGUGGCCGGGAUGGCAGGUGCCUGACCGGGUAGCUCUGAGCGCCUCCUUGAGAAGCUGUAAAAUCACUGGGCUCUGGUCUGUGCUGGUAAAAGGCCCCUUUGGACUGAUGGGGGCCACCUGCGAGGGGCCGCGGCCGCAUCCAUUCGGUGGCGGGGACGGAAUGUGAACAGACAUAUUGACGCUCGGAAGUCUACACAAGACAGAACUUUAUUGAUGGAGGGC